UACUGGGCGUAAAGCGUGCGCAGGCGGUUUUGUAAGACAGUGGUGAAAUCCCCGGGCUCAACCUGGGAACUGCCAUUGUGACUGCAAGGCUAGAGUGCGGCAGAGGGGGAUGGAAUCCGCGUGUAGCAGUGAAAUGCGUAGAUAUGCGGAGGAACACCGAUGGCGAAGGCAAUCCCCUGGGCCUGCACUGACGCUCAUGCACGAAAGCGUGGGGAGCAAACAGGAUUAGAUACCCUGGUAGUCAAGGGCG
rnacentral:rRNA from 1 species